UGGGGAGACAGAAUCAAUCUCAAGCAGGCUCCACACCCAGCCCUAAGCCUGACCUGGGGCUCAAUUCCACUGCUUUGAGAUCACUACCUAAGCCAUUAAUCAAGAGUCAGUGCUGAACUGACUGAGCCACCCAGGCACCCCUUAGUCUUUUUUUUUUUUUUUUUUUUAAAGAUCUAUUUAUUUAUUUAUUUAUUUGACAGAGAUUACAAGUAGACAGAGAGGCAGGCAGAGAGAGAGAGAGAGGAGGAAGCAGGUUCCCCGCUGAGCAGAGAGCCUGAUGUGGGGCUCAAUCCCAGGACCCUGGGAUUAUGACCUGAGCUGAAGGCAGAGGCUUUAACCCACUGAGCCACCCAGGCACCCCCUUAGUGUCUAUUUUUAAAUGAAAUAUUUUAAAUCAGUUUUAGGACAAGACAUGUUGUCCUAUAAAAAAUGGUUCUAAUUAGUUACAUUCAGAUAGUCAAAUCCUUAAAACUGAAAUUUUGCAUUACUCUAUUUGAGUAAAAGAGCAAACUCAGAUUUACCUUCUCUUAUGGACAGAGCAAAAUAGUGUUGCUUUUAUCAGAGUCAGCAGAAAGAGUAGGUAAACCAGAGGGUUUGAAUCUGUUUAGGAAGCCAAAUCACACGCCAGACUUUGGAUAUGUAAAAGAAAUGCAGUUGUAAGGCCAUUUGGACUACUGUAAUUAAUAUGUUGUAAUAUUUUUACUGUAUUAGUUCAUUAUCCAUCAAUUUAGUGGAGUUAAUGCUGGGUUCAUAAAACUGUUUGCCUCUACACAUUGAUAAUUUAAACUUUUCCUUUGUGUUUUGUUUUUUUAAAAAAGUUUUUAAUUAGAAAUAAAGAAUAAAACUUUUUUAAUCUCAACUUUUUAUUUUGAUACAAUUCCGUACUUAAAGAACCAUUGCUAAGAACAGUACAAAGAACUCCCAUCUACUCUUCUUUUCCACAAGUUUUUAUUUAAAUUCCAGUUAGUUAACAUUCAGUGUAAUACUCGCUUCAGGUGUAGAAUUUAGUGAUUCAUCAUUUUUGUACUACAACCGGUGUUCAUCACAAGUGCAUUCCUUAAUCCCCAUCACUUAUUUAACCCAUCCCCCCACCAACCUCCCCUCUUGUCACCAUCAGUUUAUUCUCUAUAGCUAAGAGUCUUUACCUAGAUUGACCAGUUGUUAAUAUUUUGCCCCAUUUUUGUUAUCAUUUAUGUACACAUCCUCACUUUAUGUAUUUUCUUCCUGAGUAAUUUGCAGGUAAAGUACUCCUUUUCCAUAAAUACUUGUUUUUUUCCCCCAAGAACAAGGGGUUUCUUUUCAGUAAACAUAGGAUAUUGAUCAAUGUCAGACAUUUAAUACUGAUAGAGUAGUAUUAGUUAAUGCAUGUUCCAUAUUCAGAUUUUUCCAGUUGUCCCAAUAGUGUUAUAUAUUUCCUUUAUAGCAGUUUCCCCUUUGUGUUACAGCUGCCUACCUCCACCAGAUCUAAUCCAGGAUCAUGCAUUUCAUUUUGUUGUCAUAAUGGUUUAGACUUCUUUAAUCUGGAAGAGUUCCUUGGUUUUUCUCUUUCACAUCAUGGUAUUCUUAAAUUCAUUUUUAAAAUUUUUUUUAGAAUUUAUUUGAGAGAGAGACCAGGCACACACAUGAACUGGAGGAGGGGCAGAGGGAGGGGGAGGGAAGCAGACUCCCUGCUGAGCCCUUCCUCGGGCUCCAUCCUAGGACCCUGAGAUCGUGACCUCAGCUGAAAUCAGGAGUCCCACUUUAAACCAACUGAGCCACCCAGAUGCCCCCGAGAUUGUGGUAUUUUUUAAAGAACACAGGCCAGUUAUUUUUAUAAAGCAUACUUCAUUUUGAGUUCUUCUGAAGUUUCCUCCUGAUUUGAUUCAGGUCAUGCAUUUUUUUUUUUUUUUUUUUUUUGGUAGGAAUACUACAAAAGUAAUGUUGUGUCUUCUCAGGGCAUCAUAUUAAGAGGUUUAUGAGGUUGGUUUGUCUCGUUUUUGGCGAUGUUAACUUCAAAUAUUAAGGUAAUAUUUGCAAGGUUAUUCCACUGUAAAGUUACUAUUUUUCCCUUUGCUAUUAGUAAGUAUCUUGUGAGAGGUACUUUGAGAUUUUGUGUAUACAUCCUGUUCCUCACCAGGCUUUCACCCAAAAACUUAACAACCAUUGAUGAUUCUUUUUUUUUUUUUUUUUUGACAGAGAGAAAUCACAAGUAAGCAGAGAGGCAGGCAGAGAGAGGAGGAAGCAGGCUCCCCGUGGAGCAGAGAGCCCGAUGCGGGACUCGAUCCCAGAACCCUGGGAUCAUGACCCGAGCCGAAGGCAGAGGAUUUAACCCACUGAGCCACCCAGGCGCCCAUCAUUGAUGAUUCUUGACUGAAUCACUUAUUACUAGGAUAGUUGCAAGAAGUUGAAAUUUUUUUUAAGAUGUUGAAUUUUUAACUUGCAUUUUUUCUAAAUAUAUUAGUAUUCUGUAAAGAAGAGCUUUCCUUUCCCUCCCACUUAUUUGUUUAUUCAUUUAUGGUAUUAGUAUGGACUCACAGAUAUUUAUUUUAUUCUUUGAUAUCAUUAUUAUUUUGAGGCCCGAAUUAUCAUAGCUUUGGCUGGUGCUCCGGAGUGACCUAAGCUGGAAUUUGGACAUGUCCCUAUUGUCCUUUGAGCUCUUUCUUUUGGACACAAGAUACUCCAGGCUCAUCUUGUACUCAGCAUACCCCAGCCUUGGAAUCAGCCAUUUUUCCAAGUAUCCCUUAUUCUGUUUAGUGGGGAAUAAUGUUUGCAAAUUAAGAUCUCUUAGCAGAUAAGAGCUAAGAAAUAUAAAUAAAUACACAUGUCUGUGUGUGUGUGUGUGUGAGAGAGAGAGAGAGAGAGAGAUUAUAUUAAUACUUAUAAUUCCAAUUCAGCAUCACAGGUCUGGUCUUGCCCCUUUUAUUAUUUGUAAUGCUCUUCUCCUACAUUGAAAAUCUGGGUCCCAUUAUCCUCAGCAUAUGUACUCAUUUGCUCUGUGCCAUAAUCAGAGAAAGUAAUUCCAGAAAUGCUAACCCAUACCAUUGUAAAGGAAACCUCCUUGAACUAGAGUUCAGUAUUUGUUUAGGGUUCUUUUUGUCUAUGUACUGACAAUAUGUAAAGUAUUAUGUUCAAAAGUCAUUUGAAUUACUUUCCCUCCAUCUUUUAAUACACUUAUUUAUUUGGCAUAUAGUUGGGUUCAUUUGUGUUUGAUUUCCAUUUUGGAUUUUUUUCCACCUCUUCCUUAAUGAUUCUUGUUUUCCUUUUUGAGUGCUUAAAACAUUAGCAUAGUUCCAGAAGCUAAAACUAUACUGAGAAGUUUACUACCCAUUCCUUUCACUCACUGCCACCCACUCUUGUAGACAAUUAUUCUGAUUUAUUCUUCCUAUGUUCUUAUCUUUCUCUCUAAAAAGGUAGCAGACUAAUUAUAUAUUUUUGGACUUUGCCUCUUUCAUUUAUCAGUGUAUCCUGUAUAUCACUCUAUGUUUGUAUAAAUUUUCCUUAUUUUUUAAUAGCUUCAUAGCACUCUAUUUGUGAAUGUGUCACAGUGAAUUCAACCAUUCUCCUAUGUUUUGGAUCCUUUAUUUUAGGUUGUUUCCAGUAUUUUACAUUUACAAAUAAUGCUGCAACUAAUAGCCUUGUACAAAUGUAUUUUUGUAUUAGGAGUAUCUACAGGAAAGAUUGAAAGUUUUAACUUCUUAGUUGUAUGAGCAAUAAUGUUUAAGUGUUUUUAUAAUAAUACUUCAACCUAUUUGCCUGCCUGCUCCUGUCUUCCCAUCUGCUGUGGUCUUACAAAUGUACUUAAGACUGUUGAAGGGAAAUAUUUUAAUGUAAUUAUUUUUCUGUCUGGGAAACCUUGAAAUCAGAGAGCUAGAAGUGGCCUUGAAAGCAUUUUUAGUCAGUACAUAGUAGCUAAUAAGAUAUGUUCUGGGUCUAUUUUCAUUUUAACAACUGAUUGCUCCUUAUAUAUACUAAUCAGUGCUGUUUUACCAUCUGAGUACUCAGACUGAACUAUUUUCUGGGACAUCUUUCUUAAUUUAAUUCAUGUUAGGUUCCUUCAUGUUGUGCUGCUGACUGGCUGCUCCCUGCAGUCACAGAACUGCAGUAGGACAAGACAGUUAUACACAGGGUAGAAAUGGGGAUAUGGGCCAUCUGUUUUCUCUGACAGAUCUUAGAGCAUUAGUCAAUAUUAUAAGCUUAAGAUCUUCAGAGGAAUGGUAAAUUGGAUUCCCAGGAAAUGCUGCUGGCUCUCUCAGGUGGUUGAGAACUUCCAGUUUGUUCUAAUAAGUGGGCAUCACGGCAGAAGGGAGACCUCCUCCUACAUUGGUAGAUAACCAUGUAAAAGAUCGGCUAGCACAACUUCUCGUCAGAGGGACCAGGAAUGAAUUAUACAUGUAUUAAGAUAAGGAUUCCCUCAGCCCAAGGGUGGCUGUAGCCUCCAAGGGGAUCCUACUUAUGGUCCUGGGAAGCCUUUUGAAUUUGUGUGCGUGUGCCAUACAGAUGUUAUCAUUUUCUGUGCAUGUCUUGACAUGGAAAAGGUUGGAAAAGUAGGCUAAGAGCCAAGGACAUUGCUUCUUAAAGAGAAUCUGGUAGUAAGGUGGAUAAAGAGGAAUUGAAUUUUGAGCUACUGGUUAAUAGAAAUAAGCUGAUUACCUUAUAUUUAAUCUGAUAUGAGUUGAAAUGAUUCCUUUUUUCUUCUUUGCUAAAACAAGAAUUAGAAAUUUUUAAAUGUUUGUUUACCUAAAGAAAAUGAAAACUCCAAUUCAGAAAAGAUAUAUGCAUCCUUAUGUUUAUUGUAGUGUUAUUUAUAAUAGCCAAGAUAAGGAAGGAACUCAAGUGUUGAUCGACAGAUGAAUGGAUAAAGAAGAUGUGGGAGAGGGGUGCCAGGUUGGCGCAAUCAGUUAAGCACCUGCCUUUGGCUCAGAUCAUAAUCUCAGGGUCCAGAGAUCGAGCCCCACACCAGGCUUCCUGCUCAGCAGGGAGUCUGCUUCUCUCUCUCUCUCUCUCUCUCUCAAAAAAAAAAAAAAGAACUGGGAGACACACACACACACACACACACAUAUACACACUGGAAUAUCACUCAACCAUAAAAAAGAAUGAGAUCUUAGCAUUUGCAACAACAUAAUGGACCUAGAGGGUAUAAUGCUAAGUGAAAUAAAUCAGAGAAAGACAAAUACCAUAUGAUUUCACUCAUAUGGAAUCUAAAAAACAAAGCAGAAACAGACCUAUAAACAGAGAACAGACAGGUGGUUGCCAGAAGGGAGGGGUGGAGAGACUGGCAAAAUGGGUGAGCAGGAGUGGGAGGUACAGGUUCUAGUUAUGGAAUGUUUAAGUCAUGGGAGUGAAAGGUACAGCAUAGGGAAUACACAGUGGUGUUGUAACAGUGUUGUACGAUGGCAGAUGGUAGCUACACUUGUGAGCAUAGCAUAAGGUAUAGAGUUGUCCAAUCACUGUUGUAUACCUUAAAACUAAUGUAACAAGACACGAAACUAAUUGUGUGUCAACUGUACUUCAAAGUUAAAAAAUAUUUUAAAUGACUUUGGUCUAGCACAUUGUAUUGGGUGUUGGUUUACUCAAGGUAUGUUUUGCGUGGUUAGAUUGGUAAAUCAGGGUUUAUUUUUAUUUUUAUUAAAUCAAACCUGAUGCGGGGCUUGAUCCCAGGACCCUGGGACCAUGACCCGAGCGAAGGCAGAGGCUUUAACCCACUGAGCCACCCAGGUGCCCCGGUAAAUCAGGGUUUAAUCUCUGUUAUGAAUACCUCUGAGUUCAGUAUUUUUCAGUAUGAUUUUGAUACUUAAGUUGUCUCUGUACUUAAAUAUUUUAUCUGAGUAACAUCUUCCUAAGUUGUCUAAACCUUUUUGCACAUCUCUCAGAAUGUACACCCGAACUGUAUUUGCUUUCUAAAUAUAUUUAUUUUACAUUAGGUGUAUAAAGUUUAAUGAUUCUGACAUGAAGGUGGUUUAGUAGUUCAGUCAAAUUUUGAAAUAAGCAUAUCAGGAUUGAGUAUUUUAUCUGAUUCACUUGAUGUUUUGAAUGUAAUUUAAUUUUAGGUCAGAUAUAGGAGGAGUUUCUGAGUUUUAACUUUAAUGUGACUUAUGUAUAUGAAAUUCUUCUAGGCAAAGGAAUUGUUAGCUGAAGUUCCUUUUAGUGGGUGUAAACUAAGAGAAAAAAUUUUUUGAGAAUUAGUAGUCAUGGUAUAUGUGGCCAUACGUUAACUGUUAGAUAUAAUUGCAGCAACCAGAAUUGACCCCUGCCAACCAUUUUAUUCUUUCUAAUGUGUUUUUAAUGGAAAGGAACUGACCAUCACUGGUGCUUUCUGUUUGUUAGGCCCUUUGCUGUGCACUCUAUAUCUUUUGUCUCAUGAAAUCAUUAACACAGCCAUGUGAGGUAGAGGUGGUAUUUGCCCUGUAUUACAGAUGAGGAAGCUGGCUCUGGAACCAGCUCCUGUAGGUCAUAGAAUAAAACUGGUAGAGCGAGAAGGUAAAUUUAAAAUCGCUGGUCCUGAAGCCCAUGCUUGCUUCAUUAUAUCACAUGACCUCUAACAUGUUUAUUUUGAGUCUGUAUAGUAACAGUUACAUCCUUAUGAGGGUAACCUAGUCAUUUGGUACAUUUUUAUGUUAAAGAAGGAAGAUUUCUUGGGGUGCCUGGGUCACUCAGUCAUUAAGCAUCUGCCUUUGGCUCAGGUCAUGAUCCUGGGGUCCUAUGAUAGAGCCCUGCAUUGGGCUCUCUGCUCAGCAGGAGGUCUGGUUUUCCUUCUCCCACUUCCCCUGCUUGUGUUCCCUCUUUCUCACAGUCUGUCAAAUAAGUAAGUAAAAUCUUAAAAAAAAAAAAAAAAA